rnacentral:rRNA from 1 species
CCUACGGGAGGCAGCAGUGGGGAAUAUUGCACAAUGGGGGGAACCCUGAUGCAGCGACGCCGCGUGGGUGAAGGAGUAUUUCGGUAUGUAAAGCCCUAUCAGCAGGGAAGAACAAUGACGGUACCUGACUAAGAAGCACCGGCUAAAUACGUGCCAGCAGCCGCGGUAAUACGUAUGGUGCAAGCGUUAUCCGGAUUUACUGGGUGUAAAGGGAGCGCAGGCGGCGCGUUAAGCCUGGUGUGAAAGUCCGCGGCCCAACCGCGGGACUGCAUUGGGGACUGGCGCGCUGGAGUGCCGGAGGGGUAGGCGGAAUUCCUAGUGUAGCGGUGAAAUGCGUAGAUAUUAGGAGGAACACCAGUGGCGAAGGCGGCCUACUGGACGGUGACUGACGCUGAGGCUCGAAAGCGUGGGGAGCAAACAGGAUUAGAUACCCCAGUAGUC